rnacentral:rRNA from 1 species
GACGUAGGGCGCGAGCGUUAAUCGGAAUUACUGGGCGUAAAGCGUGCGCAGGCGGUUGUGCAAGACAGAUGUGAAAUCCCCGGGCUCAACCUGGGAACUGCAUUUGUGACUGCACGGCUGGAGUGCGGCAGAGGGGGAUGGAAUUCCGCGUGUAGCAGUGAAAUGCGUAGAGAUGCGGAGGAACACCGAUGGCGAAGGCAGCCCCCCUGGGCCAACACUGACGCUCAGGCACGAAAGCGUGGGGAGCAAAACGG